UACAGAGGUCCCGAGGCGUUGUUCGGAUUCACUGGGCGUAAAGGGUGCGCAGGUGGUUUGGCAAGUUUGAUGUGAAAAGCCCCGGGCUUAAACCCGGGAAUGGCAUUGGAAUACCUGCUGGACUUGGAGGAUCGGAGGGGGGACUGGAAUUCUGUGAGCAGUGAAAUGUCGUAGAGUAUCAAAGAGGAACACCAGUGGCGAAGGCGAGUCCCUGGACGAUGACCUGACACUGAGGCACGAAAGCUAGGGGAGCAAACAGG
rnacentral:rRNA from 1 species